rnacentral:rRNA from 1 species
AACGAACGCUGGCGGCAGGCCUAACACAUGCAAGUCGAGCGCCCCGCAAGGGGAGCGGCGGACGGGUGAGUAACGCGUGGGAACGUGCCCUUUGCUACGGAAUAGCCCCGGGAAACUGGGAGUAAUACCGUAUAAGCCCUACGGGGGAAAGAUUUCUCGGCAAAGGAUCGGCCCGCGUUGGAUUAGGUAGUUGGUGGGGUAAUGGCCUACCAAGCCGACGAUCCAUAGCUGGUUUGAGAGGAUGAUCAGCCACACUGGGACUGAGACACGGCCCAGACUCCUACGGGAGGCAGCAGUGGGGAAUCUUAGACAAUGGGCGCAAGCCUGAUCUAGCCAUGCCGCGUGAGCGAUGAAGGCCUUAGGGUUGUAAAGCUCUUUCGUGGGGGAAGAUAAUGACUGUACCCCAAGAAGAAGCCCCGGCUAACUCCGUGCCAGCCGCCGCAGUAAGAC